UGUGGCUCAGUGGUAGAGCACUUGCCUAGCAUGUAUGAGGCACUGGGUUCGAUUCUCAGCA
rnacentral:tRNA from 1 species